GGAGACCCAAACCCCAGUUCAGAUGAGCCA
rnacentral:piRNA from 1 species